UCUGAACUGUACAAAUAAUGACCGCCCUAAUGUAUACUAUUUUACGAUUUGAAUGUUAACUACGUUUUUAGGUAUUUCUUCCACUAUUAAAAGACCAUGUUUAUGUCAAUAAAUAAACUCAAUAGGUUAGCUAUAGUUGAUAAUAUUAAGAAGACAAUCAAAAUAAAAUAAUUACUACCUUUGUUAAAAAUGAUCCUAUCACGAGGGUGUAGCUUUCA